GGGGAUAUAGCUCAGCGGCAUAAGCACUUGCCUUGCAAGCAAGUGGUUGUGAGUUCAAUCCCCG
rnacentral:tRNA from 1 species